GGUUGUGGAUCAGUGGUAGAGCGCUUGCCUAGCAUGUGUGAAGCACUGGGUUCAAUUCUCAGCACCA
rnacentral:tRNA from 1 species